CGAUGGAUAGGGGUUCUGAGAGGAAGGUCCCCCACAUUGGAACUGAGACACGGUCCAAACUCCUACGGGAGGCAGCAGUGAGGAAUAUUGGUCAAUGGGCGAGAGCCUGAACCAGCCAAGUAGCGUGAAGGAUGACUGCCCUAUGGGUUGUAAACUUCUUUUAUAAAGGAAUAAAGUCGGGUAUGCAUACCCGUUUGCAUGUACUUUAUGAAUAAGGAUCGGCUAACUCCGUGCCAGCAGCCGCGGUAAUACGGAGGAUCCGAGCGUUAUCCGGAUUUAUUGGGUUUAAAGGGAGCGUAGAUGGAUGUUUAAGUCAGUUGUGAAAGUUUGCGGCUCAACCGUAAAAUUGCAGUUGAUACUGGAUAUCUUGAGUGCAGUUGAGGCA
rnacentral:rRNA from 1 species